AAGGGCCCAAGGAGUAGC
rnacentral:piRNA from 1 species